AUUGAACGCUGGCGGCAUGCUUUACACAUGCAAGUCGAACGGCAGCACGGAGAAGCUUGCUUCUCUGCUGACGAGUGGCGAACGGGUGAGUAAUAUAUCGGAACGUGUCCAUUAGAGGGGGAUAACUAGUCGAAAGAUUAGCUAAUACCGCAUACGCCCUGAGGGGGAAAGUGGGGGAUCUUCGGACCUCACGUUAAUGGAGCGGCCGAUAUCUGAUUAGCUAGUUGGUAGGGUAAAAGCCUACCAAGGCGACGAUCAGUAGCUGGUCUGAGAGGAUGAUCAGCCACACUGGGACUGAGACACGGCCCAGACUCCUACGGGAGGCAGCAGUGGGGAAUUUUGGACAAUGGGCGCAAGCCUGAUCCAGCCAUGCCGCGUGAGUGAAGAAGGCCUUCGGGUUGUAAAGCUCUUUCGCAAGGAAAGAAAACUUACAUGUAAAUAAUGUGUGAGGUUGACGGUACC
rnacentral:rRNA from 1 species